AAAUUGAAGAGUUUGAUCAUGGCUCAGAUUGAACGCUGGCGGCAGGCCUAACACAUGCAAGUCGAACGGUAACAGGAAGCAGCUUGCUGCUUUGCUGACGAGUGGCGGACGGGUGAGUAAUGUCUGGGAAACUGCCUGAUGGAGGGGGAUAACUACUGGAAACGGUGGCUAAUACCGCAUAACGUCGCAAGACCAAAGAGGGGGACCUUCGGGCCUCUUGCCAUCAGAUGUGCCCAGAUGGGAUUAGCUUGUUGGUGAGGUAACGGCUCACCAAGGCGACGAUCCCUAGCUGGUCUGAGAGGAUGACCAGCCACACUGGAACUGAGACACGGUCCAGACUCCUACGGGAGGCAGCAGUGGGGAAUAUUGCACAAUGGGCGCAAGCCUGAUGCAGCCAUGCCGCGUGUAUGAAGAAGGCCUUCGGGUUGUAAAGUACUUUCAGCGGGGAGGAAGGUGUUGUGGUUAAUAACCACAGCAAUUGACGUUACCCGCAGAAGAAGCA
rnacentral:rRNA from 1 species